rnacentral:rRNA from 1 species
AUGCGCUCUCAAAGAGUCGAGUUGUUUGGGAAUGCAGCUCAAAAUGGGUGGUAAAUUCCAUCUAAAGCUAAAUAUUGGCGAGAGACCGAUAGCGAACAAGUACCGUGAGGGAAAGAUGAAAAGAACUUUGGAAAGAGAGUUAAACAGUACGUGAAAUUGCUGAAAGGGAAACGCUUGAAGUCAGUCGCGCCGUCCAGGGAUCAACCUUGCUGUUGCUUGGUGUACUUUCUGUUCGGUGGGUCAGCAUCAAUUUUGAUCAUUGGAAAAAGAUCAGGGGAAUGUGGCAUCUUCGGAUGUGUUAUAGCCUCUGGUUGCAUACAAUGGUUGGGAUUGAGGAACUCAGCACGCCGCAAGGCCGGGUGUCUCACCACGUACGUGCUUAGGAUGCUGGCAUAAUGGCUUUAAUCGACCCGUCUUGAAACACGGACCAAGGAGUCUAAC